rnacentral:rRNA from 1 species
GAUGAACGCUGGCGGCGUGCCUAAUACAUGCAAGUCGAGCGAACAGACGAGGAGCUUGCUCCUCUGACGUUAGCGGCGGACGGGUGAGUAACACGUGGAUAACCUACCUAUAAGACUGGGAUAACUUCGGGAAACCGGAGCUAAUACCGGAUAAUAUAUUGAACCGCAUGGUUCAAUAGUGAAAGACGGCUUUGCUGUCACUUAUAGAUGGAUCCGCGCCGCAUUAGCUAGUUGGUAAGGUAACGGCUUACCAAGGCGACGAUGCGUAGCCGACCUGAGAGGGUGAUCGGCCACACUGGAACUGGGACACGGUCCAGACUCCUACGGGAGGCAGCAGUAGGGAAUCUUCCGCAAUGGGCGAAAGCCUGACGGAGCAACGCCGCGUGAAUGAUGAAGGUCUUCGGUUCGUAAAACUCUGUUAUUAGGGAAGAACAAAUGUGUAAGUAACUAUGCACGUCUUGACGGUACCUAAUCAGAAAGCCACGGCUAACUACGUG